UACAGGGGGGUGCAAACGUUGCUCGGAAUCAUUGGGCGUAAAGCGCACGUAGGCGGUCUGUUAUGUCGGAUGUGAAAGCCCUUGGCUUAACUGAGGAAGUGCAUCCGAAACUGGCAGGCUAGAGUACUAAAGGGGGGUCGCGGAAUUCCCGGUGUAGUGGUGAAAUGCGUAGAUAUCGGGAGGAACACCAGUGGCGAAGGCGACUUCCUGGCCUGUUCUUGACGCUGAGGCGCGAAAAGCUAGGGUAGCAAACGGG
rnacentral:rRNA from 1 species